UUAAAAGUACACUUUAAAAAAAACCCUACAUUAACGGUAGCUAGCUAACGGUAGACUACAGAGAAAGUGUGAUAUUUUUACGUCCAUUUCCAAGCAACAGAAGGAAACAUUUCAGUCAACACAUUAAGUGAAACUGAAAUGA